rnacentral:rRNA from 1 species
AUACGGAGGGGGCUAGCGUUGUUCGGAAUUACUGGGCGUAAAGCGCACGUAGGCGGACCAGAAAGUUGGAGGUGAAAUCCCAGGGCUCAACCUUGGAACUGCCUUCAAAACUCCUGGUCUUGAGUUCGAGAGAGGUGAGUGGAAUUCCGAGUGUAGAGGUGAAAUUCGUAGGUAUUCGGAGGAACACCAGUGGCGAAGGCGGCUCACUGGCUCGAUACUGACGCUGAGGUGCGAAAGCGUGGGGAGC